GGGAGUUGUAGUCUUGGGCCGCAGAGAGGCCAUGGCGGUGGCGGACCGGCCAGGGGCGGGUAGUGUCCCCGUGGUACCAGUCGCCAGUGGCCACAGCAUCCCGGUGCUGGGGCUCGGUACUUCCCACCAGGGUGGCUAUUCCCACACUGCAGUGGUCCAUGCCCUACAGAAAUGCGGCAUUCGUCACAUUGACACAGCAAAAAGAUACGGCUGUGAAUCCCUCCUCCAAAGGGCCAUCAGAGAGAGUGCUGUGAAGCGAGAGGACCUCUGGAUAACUACCAAACUUUGGCACAGUGAUUGUGGCUAUGAAAGCACAAAAAAGGCCUGCCUGGAGUCAUGUGAAAGGCUUGGUGUUGAGUAUCUUGAUCUUUAUUUGAUACACUGGCCUGAUGCACAAGUUCCAGGUAAAAGCAAUCGAGAGGUCCGAGCUGAAACCUGGAGAGCGAUGGAAGAGCUCUAUGACAAAGGUUUGUGUAAAUCUAUUGGCGUAAGCAAUUUUCUUAUCAGCCAUCUUGAGCAACUAAAGGAGGACUGUGUGAUUACUCCACAUGUUAAUCAGGUUGAAUACCACCCUUUCCAAAGACCUCAGGAGCUGGUUGAUUAUUGUCGGAGAAGAGAUAUUGUUUUUGAAGGCUACUGUCCUUUAGCCAAAGGUGAAGCACUCACACAUCCUACUAUCAUUCAGCUGGCAAAGAAGUAUGGCAGAACUCCAGCACAGAUUUGCAUACGCUGGAGCAUUCAGAAUGGAAUUGUCACUAUUCCAAAGUCAACAAAAGUGGAGCGGAUAGAGGAAAACUGCAAGGUGUUUGAUUUUACAAUAGCAGAAGAUGAUGUUGAAAUUCUGAAUGGAAUGCAUGAUGGGAGACAUGUUUCCUGGGAUCCAAGUUUCAUUGUGUGAAUCAAGGGCCAAGAGGUGAGCAGUGAGCUCCAAGAGCCAAAGAGACAUCUUUGUUAUUACUUACUGGAAACUGGGCUUUCUUACAGAUGCAGAAAUACUUCCAGUGUCUUCUCUGCUCUCUUGGAACUUUCUGGUAUAGUCUCUCAGUAUGAGUUAUCUCACAAUAUUAUCAUUUUCUUCUGCCUUCAUGUACUUCAUUUAAGGUGUCAUUUGAACCCAUUUGAACAAAUUAGGGUUUUGGGUUUUUUCCUUACAUAUUUUGAAAAGUAUUAAUUACUUGAAGGCACAUCAGAGCACGCUACAUUGCAAGUAAAUCUUGACAAAUGAUUUAAAAUACAGAAUAUUUGUUCAGGGAUUUUAGCAGAAUAAUGAAUCUGACUUUAUAUUUCUUCUAGUCAUGUGAAUUUUGGGGGAUUCUGCAGGCCACUCUUGAUAUUUUCUUGGUGACCAAACCUGCACUCUGAUACUGUUUCACGAAUCUCCUGUCAUGACCCAGCACUUCAGAGAGAAAUGGCUCCCUUUGUGACCUAAGUUGCAUCAGAAUGAAUAAAAGUAGUUUUUGCUUA